GAUGAACGCUGGCGGCGUGCUUAACACAUGCAAGUCGAACGAGGUCCAUGGAGCUUGCUCCGGAAGACCUAGUGGCGAACGGGUGCGUAACACGUGAGAAACCUGCCCCGAUCUCUGGAAUAACAGUUGGAAACGACUGCUAAUACCGGAUGUCAUCACACCGUCUCAUGGCGGAGUGAUGAAAGAUUUAUCGGAUCGGGAGGGUCUCGCGGCCUAUCAGCUAGUUGGAGAGGUAACGGCUCACCAAGGCAUCGACGGGUAGCUGGUCUGAGAGGAUGAUCAGCCACACUGGAACUGAGACACGGUCCAGACUCCUACGGGAGGCAGCAGUGGGGAAUCUUGCACAAUGGGCGAAAGCCUGAUGCAGCAACGCCGCGUGCGGGAAGAAGGCCCUAGGGUUGUAAACCGCUUUCAGUAGGGAAGAAAAUGACGGUACCUACAGAAGAAGGUGCGGCCAACUACG
rnacentral:rRNA from 1 species